rnacentral:rRNA from 1 species
GACGAACGCUGGCGGCGUGCUUAACACAUGCAAGUCGAACGGAAAGGCCCUGCUUUUGUGGGGUGCUCGAGUGGCGAACGGGUGAGUAACACGUGAGUAACCUGCCCUUGACUUUGGGAUAACUUCAGGAAACUGGGGCUAAUACCGGAUAGGAGCUCCUGCUGCAUGGUGGGGGUUGGAAAGUUUCGGCGGUUGGGGAUGGACUCGCGGCUUAUCAGCUUGUUGGUGGGGUAGUGGCUUACCAAGGCUUUGACGGGUAGCCGGCCUGAGAGGGUGACCGGCCACAUUGGGCCUGAGAUACGGCCCAGACUCCUACGGGAGACAGCAGUGGGGAAUAUUGCACAAUGGGCGGAAGCCUGAUGCAGCAACGCCGCGUGCGGGAUGACGGCCUUCGGGUUGUAAACCGCAUUCGCCUGUGACGAAGCGUGAGUGACGGUAAUGGGUAAAGAAGCACCGGCUAACUACGUG